rnacentral:lncRNA from 1 species
AAUUAUAAAAUCUUGGAGUUCCAAGAUACAAGAAAAAGAACCAAAGACAUGUUUUUUUAAGGAUCAAGCUAAAGACAAUGUUCUCAUAAAUUCAAAAUUAAUCCCUUGCAAGGGCAUGAAUAAAGGGUUCUCAGUAAAACUUGUAUGUUCUUAUCAUAUUUGCCACCCACUCCACUCCAACCCAAAACAAAUAAAACUUAGCUAACAAAGUUUUAGCAUUAUAGCCAGUUCCUUCACUAAUCAAAACCAGCAUAUCAAUAUUACAGCACUUGUUGGAAUACACUUGAAAAUGUUAAUGCAUCCCAAGC